GAACAGACCUUACACUGACAUUUUUUUUCCAAUGAUUUUCUUUUUCCUCUUUCAAGCCACGAGGCACGGCACACACGUUACACGCCAUUCCUCACCACCAACAGAACAACACAAGACUCAUUAUUUUCUCUUCACAUUUCACCUUCUUCGUUUUCUCCCAUCUUCUUCAACCCAUGCACUUCGAGCCUCUGCUCUUCUCAGCCGCCAACCUCCAGAUCAUUAGAUCAUCGGAGCUCACCUCGUCACUGUGCUACGAAGUCGUCUUGCCACAACCAUCCGAGCUCGCGGCCAUCUCCAGCGAGACCACCGCUGUCGGCGUCGUUAUUAAGUGUUUAUAUUUCAUAGACAGGUGAUUGGCGUAGUCAUUUUGAUUUCUCUGGCCUUCAUGCUUGAAAAAAAAAGGGUAGUGGCAUUGUCACUUUCCUUUCAAACCUUUUUCAGAUUUUAGGUCUUUAUUUUCCAGACUAACUUUUACUCUAAAUAUGCAAGCUAUUGCCCUUGUUUACCCGUUUGCCACUUUGGUUGCUGCAAUUUUCAAUUCCCUCC